rnacentral:lncRNA from 1 species
UGUAGAUCUGUCUGGUUUAUCAUAUUAAUCAAUUACACUGAAGUUUGGGUGUUUGAGUUCUCAGGUUGUGCAUUUUGUUAUUGUUUCUUAGAGACUCUGAAGAGAACUUGCUAACUUUUCUCUGGAGAAGAGUUCAGAGCAGGAGUCUAGUUCUGAUCACCAGUCAUAUCUGCUCUCUGUACUGAUUGGAAUUAAAAUUGAUCUGAUUACCUUUUUAUGAUGCUUACUUUUAACAGAUGUGGAUUUGUUGGCCAGAAGAGAUGAAGAAGGAAAUAUUCUUUCUUUGGUGGUGAACCCAUUCUGUGGUAUAACUACACCUGUUCUUUGUACUUUGUCUCAAGCAAUAAAUGCACCUCAAGAAUAGUUCAGGGAACUUGCCAGCUCUGGUGGAGUUUGAGGCCAGAAGAUGGAACUCCCUGGCUGCCACCCACCUGCAGCAGCAGCUACAGCUGGGAUCAGCUGUUAUAUAAAUGUCUCUGUAUUAUACUGGAAAUUGAACACUGACAGCGUAGGAGAGACAUGUGAAGAGGAGGAGGAGGAAGAAUUGUUCCAGCAGUGGUGGAUGUAUGUUUGGAUGGUGCAGGUGCCCACUUCAUUCACUGCAUCCCUUCAGCACCAAGAGUUCAACCCAGUGCUGGCUAAUUCCAGGGCCUGAAACUGUAUCUACAUGCAAAUCUCAUCCUUUGGAAUCAACUUUCCUUUGUGUCCUGAUAGCUGUCUUCUUUCAAAAAAAAAAUCCAGUGUUGCCAUUGACCUUGAGUAUUUUUAAGAGGGAAGAGCAGAGGAGGCAAAUAAGUGCAAUUUCAGCCCUUGUUUACCAGUCAUCCCUGAAUGUGCCAAAUGCCACAGCUGCCACUGACUUUGAGGAACCCUGGUAUUUGAAUGAAAGAGCAAUAGAUAUCCUCCUGAGAAUUUUUACUAGGAUUAAUGGAACUAGUGGUAGAAAUGAUGCUAUAAGGAAUGAGAAAACAAGGCCUGAAUUAAUAAAACCUUACAGUACAGUACCAUGCAAAGCACUGUGGAAAUGGCAGUGGAUAUUACAUGGGAUGGCCCUCACAUGCUCAGCUCCAUUAGCUUGGACAAUUCAAGGGGAUCUCAGCUGGGUUUCCUGGCCAGGUUACAUAGGUCUCCUGGAAGGCAAGUGGUGCUGCUGGAGGAAAAACCAAUCGGUUCAGAGGUCUGGGCCAGUUCUCCAAGUGCUCUACUGCCUCCUUUGUUUCCAACUGUUCUAUUUCCCAAGAAAACAAACAUCUCCACUACAACUUCCAAGUAGAAUGUGGGGUGCUGGUUGCUCUGUCUCAAAGUUUCCUUUCCAUUUUAUUCAGUGCUGUAUAUUAUCCUGA